UCCUGAGAUAGCUCAGUAGGCAGAGCAUGAGACUUUUAAUCUCAGGACUGUGAGUUCAAGCCCCAAGUUGGGUU